rnacentral:tRNA from 1 species
UUUAAACCCUAAAAAUGAAUUUAUUCUUAUAUAA